GGGCCCGCACAAGCGGUGGAGUAUGUGGCUUAAUUCGAUGCAACGCGAAGAACCUUACCUAGGCUUGACAUGCUUGUCGUACUCUCCCGAAAAGGAGAGGUCACUUCGGGUGGACAAUGCACAGGUGCUGCAUGGCCGUCGUCAGCUCGUGUCGUGAGAUGUUUGGUUAAGUCCAGCAACGAGCGCAACCCCUGUGAACUGUUGCCAGCGCGUAAAGGCGGGGACUCUGUUCAGACUGCCCAGAUCAACUGGGAGGAAGGUGGGGACGACGUCAGGUCAGUAUGGCCCUUACGCCUAGGGCUGCACACGUACUACAAUGCCCAGCACAAUGAGAACCGAGACCGCAAAGGUGGAGGAAAUCUGCAAAACUGGGCCCAGUUCGGAUUGGAGGCUGCAACUCGCCUCCAUGAAGUCGGAAUCGCUAGUAAUCGCGGAU
rnacentral:rRNA from 1 species